GCCUUCGUGGACCAUGGUGAUCACUUUACUUGCAUGGGAUUAGUAUUGCCGGUAAUAAAGAGAAGGAGGUUCGAUUCCUCCCGGAGGCA